rnacentral:tRNA from 1 species
GGUCUCGUAGCUCAGCUGAUGGAGCUUGUGCUAUACAAAACCAUUCAUGCGUGGGUUCGAAUCCCACGGAGGCUA